GCAUGGUGUGGGUAUGGGGCUUUGUAAAGGGAAGCAAUCUCAAUGCCAUUUAGACCAUAUACUGGUAGAAUACCCAUCUCCAUCACAAUCUAUGCACAUAAAUGGAAGUGUCUCUAACAGUAAGCAUUGAUGAUGUUGCUGUGAAAUGGCAAUCCCAUUUCAACUCGCAUUCAUUUCUAAUUGCAAAACAACGCUAUUGGUGAUUUUGUUCCUUCCUUCUUAGAAAAGAAAUAGGAGAGAGGUCUUUUCUCAUUGGCAAAAAAUCCUUUCUUCAGUUUCGUUUCCCUUCAAUGCCGCAGCCAUAGGAGAGAUUUCAAUGCUUCAGUCGGGGUUCUAGAUCCAAGGUUUCAUUUUCUUUUCUUUGAUUUUUUUGAAGAUGAAAAAGAGAAAAAUUGGUAACGUAGGGUGGGUUUUACUUUGACAUGGGUUUUCUUGUUUGAGCCCUGAUUGAUGAAUGAAAGUUCUAUUGGUUGGUGGGCAAGAUCUUGAAUCCUGAUGAGUGGGUUCCUCUGGGUUUCUUUGAAUUGCAGAGUGAAAUCCAGGUGGGUUUGGUUCCUAGCUUUCUGACCAGUUUGCUUUGUUCUGGUUUCUUGUGGUUGACAACGAAAUCAGGGCAUUGGGUUUUUCGUCACUCAUUUUAUCUUUCUUUGGCCUUCUUUGGUUUUUCAGAGACGAAGGGAAUGGGGUUUUUAUAACCGAAGUUAAAAGAUACAUAGGGUUUGGUUAUGGUGCUAUAGUUGUUUGAAUUGGAAUUCUAUCGAAACAAAGCUAAACUGUGCGAGAAAAGAAGGAAAAGGACAGGUUUUGUUUCUAUCUCUCAAUGAGUUUAUCUGGGUUUUUCCUGGUUUGUAUGCUCCAUUCUUUGGUAGCUCUGACUUGUGGUGCUCUGAUGAUGUUCUACUCCAAUGAGUUCUAUGCAUUUGGUCAUGGCUCUGAGACUGCUCAUAAACUUCAAGGGUCAACACCUCACGACCAGCUUUUGGUUCGAACCUCAGAUUCAUUCUCGGGUUUGCUUCUAUUUGUCAUUGGUUGUCUUCUGUUCAUGGUGGCUUUUGUCAAAGACAGAGAGUUUCAGAGUUUUUUUGCCAAAGGGUGUAUCUUGCUUCACAUUGCCAUGGCUCUUUGGAGGGUAUAUUUUGAGAGGAACCUUGAAGACCUUGCCUGGGAUUGGCCAAGGCAGGUUGUUGGGGAUAUUGCAUUAGCCCUUUCGUGGGUUUACCUUCUUGUGUAUUCAUGGAGGGAAAAGUAUGAUUAGUGGAGAAAGCUUCCAUUAAUUUUGCUAGAAAGCACGCCACUUGACAUUUUACCGAGGAAGGAAACUGUGAUUUGGUUUCUCUGCUUUUGCUUCUGCUUCAUGAUUAUAUGUUGGAGGUCCUUCUGCAACAAUUGGUGUUGAAUUAGCACAAGCAAUGAAGUCUCGAGAAGAUGGGAAAUGAAACAAAAAUUGAUUUGCCUUUUAGUAUAUUUGCCUACAUUUUGCUUGUUGUUUAUAUAUGAGAAAUAGAUGCAUACAUGUAUUUAUUCUUUAGUUCUCUUAUGGGUUGGGAUAAGGAACAUGGAGAACACAAACAAUUAUCUUUGCUGGAAAGAUGAUAUUUUCCUAUUGUUUAUACCAUGUUCUGUUAGAA